rnacentral:lncRNA from 12 species
GUGGGAGUUCAGGAGCACAGCGUUCCAGUGCCGGCCCGCUGGCGGUGUCUGCGCCCCGCUCACGGCCUCUGCCACCUCCGCCGCCCGCUGCCUGCGCAUUUCAGCCCUGUCUUUCCCAGCCUGUCAGAAAGUUCAGGACCUUUGCGCUUCCUUCCCUUACAGCACAGCACUCCAGAAGCGGGAGAGCCUCCUUGUUUAAACUAUAAGAAAAGAAAUACAGUGACCUGCUCGUUCACAAAAUGGAAGUCAAGAAGAGAGAUAUGGAAGAGGUCUGAAAGUGCACCAGCACGCAAGAUACUGAGGAAGAAUCUGAAUUGAGAAGAAUGAAGCAGAAGAACACGUGAUGGGUGGAAAUUCCAUCAGAGGAGGCCAGACCUACUGGGGUUUGAGAUCUGAUUCUUACUUACUCUGACACUUGUUUGCUUUCUGUUGGAGUAAGUGAAAAUCCAGAGCUUCCGUGUCUAUUGUAUUGAGGUCUCCUACAACACAAGGAAAAAAAAAAGUCAGUUUCAGGCCAUGAAUAUGUUGUUUAUUUAGAGACUUGUAGUGCUUAUUUCAGAGUUUGUAACACUCUUUAAUUGCUAGGUACUAAAGGC